GGUGCUCGAGUGGCGAACGGGUGAGUAACACGUGAGUAACCUGCCCUUGACUUUGGGAUAACUUCAGGAAACUGGGGCUAAUACCGGAUAGGAGCUCCUGCUGCAUGGUGGGGGUUGGAAAGUUUCGGCGGUUGGGGACGGACUCGCGGCUUAUCAGCUUGUUGGUGGGGUAGUGGCUUACCAAGGCUUUGACGGGUAGCCGGCCUGAGAGGGUGACCGGCCACAUUGGGACUGAGAUACGGCCCAG
rnacentral:rRNA from 1 species